rnacentral:snoRNA from 1 species
GAUCAAUGAUGAAAAUAGCCAAAUCUGAGCAUCAGAAGACCUUCUUAGUCGAUCUGAUACAUGAUGUCUGUUGUUUAAAA